CAAAAAGGGCUUGACAUCGCCCGGAAAGCCGUAGAGAUACGGCCCCCCUUGUGGUCGGGUGACAGGUGGUGCAUGGCUGUCGUCAGCUCGUGUCGUGAGAUGUUGGGUUAAGUCCCGCAACGAGCGCAACCCUUGUUCUGUGUUGCCAGCAUGCCCUUCGGGGUGAUGGGGACUCACAGGAGACUGCCGGGGUCAACUCGGAGGAAGGUGGGGACGACGUCAAGUCAUCAUGCCCCUUAUGUCUUGGGCUGCACACGUGCUACAAUGGCCGGUACAAUGAGCUGCGAUGCCGCGAGGCGGAGCGAAUCUCAAAAAGCCGGUCUCAGUUCGGAUUGGGGUCUGCAACUCGACCCCAUGAAGUCGGAGUUGCUAGUAAUCGCAGAUCAGCAUUGCUGCGGUGAAUA
rnacentral:rRNA from 1 species